rnacentral:rRNA from 1 species
AUUGAACGCUGGCGGCAGGCCUAACACAUGCAAGUCGAGCGGAUGAAGGGAGCUUGCUCCUGGAUUCAGCGGCGGACGGGUGAGUAAUGCCUAGGAAUCUGCCUGGUAGUGGGGGAUAACGUCCGGAAACGGGCGCUAAUACCGCAUACGUCCUGAGGUAGAAAGUGGGGGAUCUUCGGACCUCACACUAUCAGAUGAGCCUAGGUCGGAUUAGCUAGUUGGUGGGGUAAAGGCCUACCAAGGCGACGAUCCGUAACUGGUCUGAGAGGAUGAUCAGUCACACUGGAACUGAGACACGGUCCAGACUCCUACGGGAGGCAGCAGUGGGGAAUAUUGGACAAUGGGCGAAAGCCUGAUCCAGCCAUGCCGCGUGUGUGAAGAAGGUCUUCGGAUUGUAAAGCACUUUAAGUUGGGAGGAAGGGCAGUAAGUUAAUACCUUGCUGUUUUGACGUUACCAACAGAAUAAGCACCGGCUAACUUCGUG